CGCCGCCGGCCUCUCCACCGUUCAUUCUCCUAUGGCAUCUACUCACGCAAGCAGUCCUAUUCCUGAUUCCUUGCUCGGCUUGCGUGGCCCAUGGAUUCGAUGUCAUAUCAUGUGUUGUUUGCUCACCCGCCUGGUCGCAGUUCGUGUCGGAUGGCGUGUUCUUCGCGGAGCUGAAUGAGAUGCUCGCGGAGGACGGCUACUCCGGCGUCGAGGUCCGCGUCACCCCCAUGUGCAUCGAGAUCAUCAUCCGUGCCACCCGCGCCCAGAACAUACUCGCGAGAAGGGCCGGAGGAUCAGAGAGCUGGCUUCUGUGAUUCAGAAGCGCUUUAACUUAUCAGAGGGUGGCGUUGAGCUCUACGCAGAGAAGCUGAACAACCGCGGGCUCUGCGACAUUGCCCAGGCCGAGUCGCUCCGCUACAAGCUUCUCGGUGAACUCGCCGUGAGAAGGGCAUGUUAUGGUGUUCUCUUAUUUGUCAUCGAGAGUGGUACUAAGGGCUGCGAGGUGUGAGUUCCACAAAUAAAAACCAUUCCAGUUUUUGUUUCUAUCUCGCUGCACCAUGUUAUCCUGACAAUUUUUGCUAGUGUGCUAUUUAAACUGAUGGAACAAUUACAGAACACUUUCCUUUGUCGAAAUUCAUGAGUGAAUUGUUAACCUAGUAUGGUCCUGCAGGAUAGUGUGCAUCAGCUUUGCCCUGUUUUGAUGCGUCUUUUGCUGAAAGUGUUUCCUGCUAUAUCAAUCCGAGUUAAAUGGGCAGUUGGGUUAAGCAUAUCUGCUUUCUCCGACAAUCAUUUUCCUCACAUGUACUCAGGAAGUUAUUUUUUUGCGUUCUAUAUGCUGCUGUUAUCUGUUUUGUUGGUUAGCUUUGUCAGAUAUAUUUGUUUCAACGACAAGUUAGUGUAGGCUAGAGUUGAAACCCAACAAAAACCAUAUGUCAAGGUUAAAGCGAUAGGCUAAAUCUUUGGUAUAUUUCAUCCUUUCAAAUCUCUUACUGCUUUAUGUCAACUUCGACCUUCCUCUAUCUCUCUUUUUAUUGCUAUUGUGACUUGAAAGAUGUUAGAACAGGUAUUCUACAUUUAUGUUCUUCUCAUCCGGAUUGCCAUAUGUUUUCUUCAGUUCUGCACAACUAGUUGCUCUGCAGGAUAGUGUGUAUCGGCUUUGUGCUAACUUAUAUGCAUUUUGUGCCGUAAGUGUUUCCUGCUAUAUAGACUGAAGGAAAGUGGGCAGUUGGGUUAGACUUGUAUCCUGUCUUUUCCAACAAUCAUUUUCCUCUCAUGUGACAUAAUACAUUUAUUCUUGGAAACUAGUUUUUGAAUUGCUGUCUUAGCAUUUACAUGUUUAGCUGCUUUAUUAUACUGUAUGCAUCCAGGGGUAUGGAAUAUGGUCUGUUGCAUGUGCUUUUUCCUGGUAUGCAAAGCAUGUAGUUUGAAUUCCAUGGGUUGUGUUAUAUGUUUCGCUAUCUAAGUCAGCUUCAUCUGAAAAUGAUAAGCAGAUCAGUUUCAAUUGGAACAUGCCAAGCUGAAGCGAUACUCACCUGCAAGGAGCGUCUUCUCUGUGUACUGCGUCGAAGCUUUACCUUUUUAUGUAAAUUACGCUGUAAAUGUACAGUUCCUCUGGACACUGAAUUUCUAAGGGCUUUUUUU